rnacentral:rRNA from 1 species
CGCGUAGGCGGCUUGGUCAGUCAGGCGUGAAAUCCCCGAGCUUAACUUGGGAAUUGCAUUCGAUACUGGGAAGCUAGAGUAUGGGAGAGGAUGGUAGAAUUCCAGGUGUAGCGGUGAAAUGCGUAGAGAUCUGGAGGAAUACCGAUGGCGAAGGCAGCCAUCUGGCCUAAUACUGACGCUGAGGUACGAAAGCAUGGGGAGCAAACAGGAUUAGAUACCCCUGUA